rnacentral:rRNA from 1 species
UCUGUGAAAUUCCGGGGCUUAACUUCGGGGUGGCAGGCGAUACGGGCAUAACUAGAGUGCUGUAGGGGAGACUGGAAUUCCUGGUGUAGCGGUGGAAUGCGCAGAUAUCAGGAGGAACACCGAUGGCGAAGGCAGGUCUCUGGGCAGUAACUGACGCUGAGGAGCGAAAGCAUGGGGAGCGAACAGGAUUAGAUACCCUGGUAGUCCAUGCUGUAAACGGUGGGCGUUAGGUGUGGGGACCGGUUUGGUUUCUGUGCCGUAGCUAACGCAUUAAGCGCCCCGCCUGGGGAGUACGGCCGCAAGGCUAAAACUCAAAGGAAUUGACGGGGGCCCGCACAAGCGGCGGAGCAUGUGGAUUAAUUCGAUGCAACGCGAAGAACCUUACCUGGGUUUGACAUGCACCAGACGGUUGUAGAGAUACGUACCUCCCUUUGUGGUUGGUGUGCAGGUGGUGCAUGGUUGUCGUCAGCUCGUGUCGUGAGAUGUUGGGUUAAGUCCCGCAACGAGCGCAACCCUUGUCUUAUGUUGCCAGCACUUUGGGUGGGGACUCAUGAGAGACUGCCGGGGUUAACUCGGAGGAAGGUGGGGAUGACGUCAAAUCAUCAUGCCCUUUAUGCCCAGGGCUUCACACAUGCUACAAUGGUUAGUACAACGCGCUGCGAACCUGUGAGGGUGAGCGAAUCGCUGAAAGCUAAUCUCAGUUCGGAUUGGGGUCUGCAACUCGACCCCAUGAAGUCGGAGUCGCUAGUAAUCGCAGAUCAGCAAUGCUGCGGUGAAUACGUUCCCGGGCCUUGUACACACCGCCCG